rnacentral:rRNA from 1 species
AUUGAACGCUGGCGGCAGGCCUAACACAUGCAAGUCGAGCGAGCGGCGGACGGGUGAGUAAUGUAUGGGGACUGCCUGAUAGAGGGGGAUCACUACUGGAAACGGUGGCUAAUACCGCAUACUAUCGGAUAACCCAUAUGGGAUUAGCUAGUAGGUGGGGUAAAGGCUCACCUAGGCGACGAUCUCUAGCUGGUCUGAGAGGAUGAUCAACCAGACUGGGAGUGAGCCACGGCACAAACUCCUACGGCGGCAGCAGUUACGAAUAUUGCACAUAGGGCGCUAGCCUUAUGCAGCCAUGCCACGUUUAUGAACGAGGCUUUAGUGUUGUAAGGUACUUUCAGCGGGGAGGCGUUACCCGCAGAAGAAGCACCGGCUAACUCCGUGCCAGCAGCCGCGGUGAUAC